GACGGAGGAUGCAAGUGUUAUCCGGAAUCACUGGGCGUAAAGCGUCUGUAGGUGGUCAAAUAAGUCAACUGUUAAAUCUUGAGGCUCAACCUCAAAAUCGCAGUCGAAACUAUUAGACUAGAGUAUAGUAGGGGUAAAGGGAAUUUCCAGUGGAGCGGUGAAAUGCGCAGAUAUCAGGAGGAACACCGAUGGCGAAGGCAGGUCUCUGGGCAUUAACUGACGCUGAGGAGCGAAAGCAUGGGGAGCGAACAGG
rnacentral:rRNA from 1 species